rnacentral:rRNA from 1 species
UUAUAGCUCACUGGUCGAGCGUCUUUGCGCGGAGAAUUUAACGGGGCUAAACCUGGCACCGAAGCUUAGGCAAUGUAGCAAUACAUUGGGUAGGGGAGCGUUGUAUACGCGGUGAAACAGUAGCGCAAGCGGCUGUGGAGUGUAUAGAAGUGAGAAUGCCGGAAUGAGUAGCGCGAAUGCAGUGAGAAUCUGCAUGGCCGAAAGCCUCAGGUUUUUGGAGGAAGGUUCGUCCGCUCCAAGUUAGUCGGGAGCUAAGGUGAGGCCGGAAGGCGUAGCCGAUGCACAGACGGUAGAGAUUCCGUCACCACCAAAAGAGUUAAGCACAGGGACACAUUUGAAGUCUCAGAGCCGGGUGUUGGUUCCGGUAGAGAUCGAGGGAAGUUAGUACCGAAGUCUGAGAUGGAAGAUGGCGAGAAAAGCUGUGUGUAUUUCUGAGGUGCCCGUACCGCAAACCGACACAGGUAGGUAGGAAGAAGAUUCUAAGGCCAACGGGAGAAAGGUUGUUAAGGAACUCGGCAAAUUGACCCCGUAACUUCGGGAGAAGGGGUGCUCCAGAGAUGGAGCCGCAGAGAAUCGGCCCAAGCAACUGUUUACCAAAAACACAGGUUUGUGCUAAAUCGAAAGAUGACGUAUACGAGCUGACGCCUGCCCGGUGCUGGAAGGUUAAGAGGAGAUGUGCAAGCAUUGAAUCGAAGCCCCAGUGAACGGCGGCCGUAACUAUAACGGUCCUAAGGUAGCGAAAUUCCUUGUCAGGUAAGUUCUGACCCGCAUGAAAGGCGUAAUGAUUUGGGCACUGUCUCAACAGCCCGCCCGGCGAAAUUGUAGUACCGGUGAAGAUGCCGGUUACCCGCGACAAGACGGAAAGACCCCAUGGAGCUUUACUGUCGCCUAAUAUUGGGUUUCGAUGUUGCAUGCACAGGAUAGAUGGGACACAGGGAAACAAUCGCUUUGGCGGUUGCGGAGUGGCCGUUGGGAUACCAUCCUUGCGAUAUUGGAAUUCUAACCUGCGGCUCUGAAUCGAGUCGGGGGACAUUGUUAGGUGGGCAGUUUGACUGGGGCGGUCGCCUCCUAAAAAGUAACGGAGGCGUUCAAAGGUUCGCUCAGCUUGAACGGAAAUCAAGCAAAAGAGUGCAAACGCAGAAGCGAGCCUAACUGCGAGACUGACGGGUCGAGCAGUAACGAAAGUUGGAGUUAGUGAUCCGGUGGUAUGUGAGUGGAAAUGCCAUCGCUCAACGGAUAAAAGUUACCCUGGGGAUAACAGGCUGAUCUCCCCCAAGAGUCCACAUCGACGGGGAGGUUUGGCACCUCGAUGUCGGCUCAUCGCAUCCUGGGGCUGUAUUCGGUCCCAAGGGUUUGGCUGUUCGCCAAUUAAAGCGGUACGCGAGCUGGGUUCAGAACGUCGUGAGACAGUUCGGUCCCUAUCUGUCGUGGGCGCAGGAUAUUUGAUGGGAGCUGUCCCUAGUACGAGAGGACCGGGACGGACGUACCUCUGGCGCACCAGUUGUUCCGCCAGGAGCAUAGCUGGGCAACUACGUACGGAUCGGAUAAACGCUGAAAGCAUCUAAGCGUGAAGCCGACCCAAAGAUAAGAUAUCCCACUGAUUAGAUCAGGUAAGAUCCCUUGAAGACUACAAGGUUGAUAGGCACGAUGUGUAAGUGGAGUGAUCCAUUCAGCAAGAGUGUACUAAUAGAUCGAGGGCUUGACCAA